UGCCUCAGUAGAGUUGGAUAUCCAGGAGGAAUAUCUCACCAGAAACCUUGUAUGGCUGGCUGGAGACAAUUUUAUGGUGCUGAAUCUCUUGCCUUAAACUAACAAGGUGCAGAAUAAUCACUCUGACAUAUGCAUUGAAUGAAGUUGUGACCAUUUUGGAGCAACCUGUGCAGAACGCUUAAUGUCAAGCCCAGCCACUAACCUAUCCAAGGAUGGGUUGCAAAUGGCUCUGUGUGGAAAGCUCUAGGAGUGGGGAGGGUAUGUUAUUGGACCCCUUGUCUAACUGGCAGUUUUCUUUGAGGCUGGAAUGGGCUUGUGGUCAAGUGUCAAAAGCAUGCCUUUGUGGGAGAGGGGGCUCUAUUGACAUUGCAAAAACCUGAUGUCUAGGUUGUUGCCUUAAGGGUUAGAAGGCUGUCCAGUGAAACUGAGGGCUGACUGUGAAACAGAAAAUGGUGUAAUGGCAGCUCUACAGUGUACAUUUCAACAAGAUGCAGAAGUGCACAAGUAUGGGUCAUCUCCAGUGAAACAAAGGAUUGAGGGCUGAAACCUUCAGUUACCUUCAGGUCUUCAGUCUCGCAGGACACCAUGUGUUGCAUGACAUUCCAAAUAACUACUGCACAGGAGUCAACAGACAUGCCACACUGAUGCUCUCUUCUCAGAGGCAGCCCAAGUGAGGCCUAUACCCUGACAUUAGGCAAUGAAGAUCUGUCUAUGUACUGUUCCAAGAAUGGGGAAGAGUUCGGAGACAGCAUUGGUGGAGGAUGGAUGCUGGUCAUGAAGAUCAAUGACAAACAGGAAACCUUCAGUUACCUUCAGGUCUUCAGUCUCUCAAAAAUGGAGUCACCAGAUUGGAUCACUUGGAGACCCUGUUUCCAACCUACUGAAGCACUUCCUUCACCAAGAUAUACCAUGGCAUGAAGGUUGAUGGGGUAACCAGGCUCUUGCAAUUGGGUCAAGAAGCAGCCCCACAGUAUGCUCUCAGCGCUGAUGGUCAAUACCAUGCUACCUCCCUAGAUUGGGAUGCAUGGAAUAGGCUGAUUGUCCUGAUGCCUCUCUGCAGCGAUGAUGCAAUCAUGAAGGGUUCAAUUCACAUGUAACGAGUAAUGGAUUCAGCAGGGUACGAAUGGGUGUCAAUGGCAAUGAACAAGAUGAUUGCAGUUCCCAUGAUUCCAGAAUCGGAUCUGGUGAAGGAGGAUCAAGAUAUGAAAACACGUGUGGAAACAGAGCUUUGUGGUGUGCAGACAACAGAGACAAAAAUAUCAAGGAAUUUGGAUACAUCUUCAUUCAAUAACGACACUGAACAACUCUACUCAAGGGAAACGCUGCAUGCAACAUAAAGCAAUGAUUAUGCUCUAAUUUCAGUAUUGGGGAUUUUAAAAUGUGAGUUUUUGCUUUAGCU